rnacentral:rRNA from 1 species
GACAGAGGGUGCAAACGUUGCUCGGAAUCACUGGGCGUAAAGGGCGCGUAGGCGGUCAGCACAAGUCAGUUGUGAAAUCUCCGGGCUUAACUCGGAAAGGUCAACUGAUACUGUGCGACUAGAGUGCAGAAGGGGCAACUGGAAUUCUCGGUGUAGCGGUGAAAUGCGUAGAUAUCGAGAGGAACACCUGCGGCGAAGGCGGGUUGCUGGGCUGACACUGACGCUGAGGCGCGAAAGCCAGGGGAGCGAACGGG